rnacentral:rRNA from 1 species
AACGGUGAACACGGAGCUUGCUCUGUGGGAUCAGUGGCGAACGGGUGAGUUAACACGUGAGCAACCUGCCCCUGACUCUGGGAUAAGCGCUGGAAACGGCGUCUAAUACUGGAUAUGUGACGUGACCGCAUGGUCUGCGUCUGGAAAGAAUUUCGGUUGGGGAUGGGCUCGCGGCCUAUCAGCUUGUUGGUGAGGUAAUGGCUCACCAAGGCGUCGACGGGUAGCCGGCCUGAGAGGGUGACCGGCCACACUGGGACUGAGACACGGCCCAGACUCCUACGGGAGGCAGCAGUGGGGAAUAUUGCACAAUGGGCGCAAGCCUGAUGCAGCAACGCCGCGUGAGGGACGACGGCCUUCGGGUUGUAAACCUCUUUUAGCAGGGAAGAAGCGAAAGUGACGGUACCUGCAGAAAAAGCGCCGGCUAACUACGUGCCAGCAGCCGCGGUAAUACGUAGGGCGCAAGCGUUAUCCGGAAUUAUUGGGCGUAAAGAGCUCGUAGGCGGUUUGUCGCGUCUGCUGUGAAAUCCGGAGGCUCAACCUCCGGCCUGCAGUGGGUACGGGCAGACUAGAGUGCGGUAGGGGAGAUUGGAAUUCCUGGUGUAG